GGCUCUGUGGCUUAGUUGGCUAAAGUGCCUGUCUCGUAAACAGGAGAUUCUGGGUUCAAAUUCCAGCAGGGCCU
rfam:Heterocephalus glaber contig212182, whole genome shotgun sequence.